CAAUAGCGUAUAUUAAAGUUGUUGCAGUUAAAAAGCUCGUAGUUGGAUUUCUGGGCUGGCCGGACGGUCCACCUCACGGUGAGAACUGGCUGGUCGGCCCUUCCUCUCGAAGUGUUGCGGUGUUCUUAACUGAGUGCUGUGGCAAUUCGGGACCUUUACUUUGAAAAAUUAGAGUGUUCAAAGCAGGCCUUCGCUUGAAUACAUUAGCAUGGAAUAAUGGAAUAGGACUUUGGUUCUAUUUUGUUGGUUUCUAGGACCGAAGUAAUGAUUAAUAGGGACAGUUGGGGGCAUUAGUAUUUAAUUGUCAGAGGUGAAAUUCUUGGAUUUAUGAAAGACUAACUACUGCGAAAGCAUUUGCCAAGGAUGUUUUCAUUAAUCAAGAACGAAAGUUAGGGGAUCGAAGACGAUCAGAUACCAU
rnacentral:rRNA from 1 species